rnacentral:rRNA from 1 species
UUCCAGUACACUAACUUUGUUACGACUUACCUCCUCUUUAGAAGAGGGUGACGGGCGAUAUGUACACCUAAGAACACUUUCGUUUUAAAUUAUUAUUUUAAAACUACUUCCAAAUCCUCUUUCAUUUCCUCUUUAGAAGAAAAUCCUUUAAUAAGUUUAAUGUGUAAUUAGCUUUUUCUUCACUAUAGUCUUCACCUUGACCUGACUUAUUAAAAAUUUUGAGGCAGAAGCUGAUAAUUCUGCCUUAAGACGGCGGUAUAAAAGAAUGAAAUGGAGAAAAAAUAAACGGGUAGAGUCGUAAUAAACAAAUUCCUC